GAUGAAGAACGCAGCGAAAUGCGAUAAGUAAUGUGAAUUGCAGAAUUCAGUGAAUCAUCGAAUCUUUGAACGCACAUUGCGCCCGCCAGCAUUCUGGCGAGCAUGCCUGUUCGAGCGUCAUUUCAACCCUCGACUUCCCUUUGGGGAAGUCGGCGUUGGGGACCGGCCGUAUACCGCCGGCCCCGAAAUGAAGUGGCGGCCCGUCCGCGGCGACCUCUGCGUAGUAAUCCAACUCGCACCGGAACCCCGACGUGGCCACGCCGUAAAACCCCCGACUUCUGAACGUUGACCUCGGAUCAGGUAGGAAUACCCGCUGAACUUAAGCAUAUCAAUAAGCGGAGGA
rnacentral:misc_RNA from 1 species